UACGAAGGGGGCUAGCGUUGCUCGGAAUCACUGGGCGUAAAGGGUGCGUAGGCGGGUCUUUAAGUCAGGGGUGAAAUCCUGGAGCUCAACUCCAGAACUGCCUUUGAUACUGAGGAUCUUGAGUUCGGGAGAGGUGAGUGGAACUGCGCGUGUAGAGGUGAAAUUCGUAGAUAUUCGCAAGAACACCAGUGGCGAAGGCGGCUCACUGGCCCGAUACUGACGCUGAGGUGCGAAAGCGUGGGGAGCAAACAGG
rnacentral:rRNA from 1 species